GCGCAGCAGUCGCGAAUCAUUCGCAAUGGGCGAAAGCCUGACGAUGCGACGCCGUGUGAACGAAGAAGGCCCUCGGGUCGUAAAGUUCUUUCGCCUGGGAACAAGAGAGGAGGAUGAAUAAUCCUUUAAUUUGAGGGUACCAGGUAAAGAAGCACCGGCUAACUCCGUGCCAGCAGCUGCGGUAAUACGGAGGGUGCAAGCAUUAAUCGGAUUUAUUGGGCGUAAAGGGCGUGUAGGCGGCCGCUCAAGUCUGUUGUGAAAUUCCGGGGCUCAACCCCGGAGCUGCAAUGGAAAACUGGAUGGCUAGAGGAUAGGCGGAGAAAAUGGAAUUCCACAAGUAGCGGUGAAAUGCGUAGAUAUGUGGAGGAACACCGGUGCGAAGGCGGUUUUCUAGCUUAUUCCUGACGCUGAGGCGCGAAAGCAAGGGGAGCAAACAGGAUUAGAUACCCCCGUAGU
rnacentral:rRNA from 1 species